UCUUUUGUGUCUUUCCACCACCUCACAACUUUCAAAUCCACAAAUUUGAGCUCGCAAAACUCGUCUGAGUUCGAUUCGAAACCUCAAGUCUUUCCACCACCUCACAACUUUCAAAUCCACAAAUUUGAGCUCGCAAAACUCGUCUGAGUUCGAUUCGAAACCUCCAGUCAGUGGCAAGUCAGCAAUAAGUCAAGGAACAUUCAAAUCAUAAUAUCUCAACUGCGGCACAAGAAAAUCAAGUUCUCAUCAGUAAAAUCAAGUGCUCAUCAAUCUAUGCUAACACAUGAGUUCAUUUAGAGAAAUUCUGACAUGAACAUGACUAGGUGUAAUCAUAAUAUAUACGCUCUAGUACUACAAUCACGUGAAGACUGGAGCUAUGCUCAUCACAUACGAGUCCUAGUUUCCUAUUGCAACCUAAGACAGGACUGGCACCUAUAAUGGAUCCAAGGUGAGCGUACGGUGCAAUGUGAACAUACACGUGAAGCUUGGCCCUGGCCUAGGGCGAGUACUGCACAGGUGCAAGCAUGCAUGAUGAACAUGUAAAAUGUAUAUGAACAUGCCAUGACAAUUUAUAAAUCUCAACAAUAUAAUCACUUUUAA
rnacentral:lncRNA from 1 species